rnacentral:rRNA from 1 species
UGGGGGAUAUUGCACAAUGGGCGAAAGCCUGAUGCAGCGACGCCGCGUGGGGGAUGAAGGCUUUCGGGUUGUAAACCUCUUUCGCUAUCGAACAAGGCCCGCUUAGGGUGGGUUGAGGGUAGGUGGAGAAGAAGCGCCGGCUAACUACGUGCCAGCAGCCGCGGUAAUACGUAGGGCGCGAGCGUUGUCCGGAAUUAUUGGGCGUAAAGGGCUUGUAGGCGGCUUGUUGCGCCUGCUGUGAAAACGCGGGGCUUAACUUCGCGCGUGGAGUGGGUACGGGCAGGCUUGAGUGUGGUAGGGGUGACUGGAAUUCCAGGUGUAGCGGUGGAAUGCGCAGAUAUCUGGAGGAACACCGAUGGCGAAGGCAGGUCACUGGGCCAUUACUGACGCUGAGGAGCGAAAGCAUGGGUAGCGAACAGG